rnacentral:tRNA from 1 species
UUCCAGGGGGUCUAGUGGUUAGGAUUCCAGGUUUUUACUGCCGUGGCCCAGGUUCAAUCCCUGGUCUGGGAA